rnacentral:rRNA from 1 species
UGCCAGACUCCUACGGGAGGCAGCAGUGGGGGAUAUUGCACAAUGGGGGGAACCCUGAUGCAGCGACGCCGCGUGGGUGAAGAAGCGCCUCGGCGCGUAAAGCCCUGUCAGCAGGGAAGAAGAUGACGGUACCUGACUAAGAAGCCCCGGCUAACUACGUGCCAGCAGCCGCGGUAAUACGUAGGGGGCAAGCGUUAUCCGGAUUUACUGGGUGUAAAGGGAGCGUAGACGGCGAAGAAAGUCUGAAGUGAAAGCCCGCGGCUCAACCGCGGAAUGGCUUUGGAAACUUUUUUGCUGGAGUACCGGAGAGGUAAGCGGAAUUCCUAGUGUAGCGGUGAAAUGCGUAGAUAUCAGGAGGAACACCGGUGGCGAAGGCGGCCUGCUGGACUGCAACUGACGUUGAGGCCCGAAAGCGUGGGGAGCAAACAGGAUUAGAUACCCGCGUACA